CUAGCGAGACUGCCGGUGGACAAAACCGGAGGAAGGUGAGGAUGACGUCAAGUCAGCAUGGCCCUUACGUCCUGGGCGACACACGUACUACAAUGCGAGGGACAGAGAGCAGCCAACCCGCGAGGGAGAGCGAACCUCUUAAACCCUGGCACAGUUCAGAUUGCAGGCUGCAACUCGCCUGCAUGAAGGAGGAAUCGCUAGUAAUCGCAGGUCAGCAUACUGCGGUGAAUCCGUUCCCGGGCCUU
rnacentral:rRNA from 1 species